CCUACGGGUGGCUGCAGUGGGGAAUAUUGGACAAUGGGCGAAAGCCUGAUCCAGCCAUGCCGCGUGUGUGAAGAAGGCCUUCGGGUUGUAAAGCACUUUCAGUGGGGAAGAAAGCCUUGGGGCUAAUACCCUCGAGGAAGGACAUCACCCACAGAAGAAGCACCGGCUAACUCCGUGCCAGCAGCCGCGGUAAUACGGAGGGUGCGAGCGUUAAUCGGAAUUACUGGGCGUAAAGCGCGCGUAGGCGGUCUGAUAAGCCGGUUGUGAAAGCCCCGGGCUCAACCUGGGAACGGCAUCCGGAACUGUCAGGCUAGAGUGCAGGAGAGGAAGGUAGAAUUCCCGGUGUAGCGGUGAAAUGCGUAGAGAUCGGGAGGAAUACCAGUGGCGAAGGGGGCCUUCUGGACUGACACUGACGCUGAGGUGCGAAAGCGUGGGUAGCAAACAGGAUUAGAUACCCUGGUAGUC
rnacentral:rRNA from 1 species